rnacentral:lncRNA from 1 species
UUUAGGAUUUAGGGUUUAGGGUUAGAGUUUAGAGUUUAGGGUUUAGGGUUUAGAUUUUAGGGUUUAGGGUUUAGGGUUUAGGGUUUAGGGUUUAGGGUUUAGGGUUUAGAGUUUAGGGUUUAGGGUUUAUGGUUUAGGAUUUAGGGUUUAUGGUUUAGGGUUUAGGGUUUAGAGUUUAGGAUUUAGGGUUUAGAGUUUAGGGUUUAGGGUUUAGAGUUGAGAAAUGAGGUUUUGGGGAUAAGAUUUCAAAUUUUGAAAAAUAAAAAAAUUAAAAUUUUCAAAGGAUAAACUUAGGAAGGUGCUAUUUUGGUCAUUUUAGUUUUUGAGUGCUAUUUUUGUGAUAUAAACUUAGAAAGGUGCUAUUUUGGAGAUUUGCCAAUUAAUGAUUUUAAUACUAAACUGAUAACAAUUUGUGUAUGAUCCAUUAUUUUGUUUGAUUGUAUAUUAUUAAACUAAAUUAAAUAAUAAAAAUCAAUUUAUUUUUAUCUAUUCUAUUAUUAUCAUUUUAUUAAAAAUAUUCAAUCAUAUAUUUAUGUUGGAGCAUGGUAUAGAAUCACAUUUUCUUAUGUAUAGUAAAAAAUAAUAUAUUUCACUUCUUACAUUUGUGUUUUAUUUGUGUUGCAUUUCCUUAUUUAUGACCAUUGGUUAUGUUCCUUCUUUUUAGUUUUGAAAUUUAUAUUAUUGUAAGGAAUAUUUAACAUUUUAUAAAGUUUUAUGUGGUUCUAGUGAUAUAAUAGUUAAACCAAUUAUUGUAUUCAUAUUUUUAUUUAAUUCUCGUUAUAUACAAUUAUUUAGUCUUUUUAAAUUUAUAUUUUCAACUAUUACUUGUGUAGAAUUUUAUACAUAUUUUAAAAUAUUCUCAACUUUAUGAAUUUUAAUUACAAAAAUUAAUAUUUUCUACAAAUUUAUUUCACUCUUAAAUAAUUUAAGUGUCCUAAAUAUAUAUUCAUAAGUCUUUUAUAAU